UUUUAAAUUCGGCCGGAUGCGGCUGCAGAACUGAGGUGGUGCGGGAUGAGGCUGAAUGGCGAUGAACUUGGCUCCGCUGCGUCCACCGCAGUGAGCGGAGCGGCCAGGUCUGCCCAGUAUGUCAAGAAGCAGAUGAAGGCGAGCAGCCCAUGGAGAUGACAGGCCCCGCUGAGAGCCCACACGAGGCUGUCCCCGAAGGCGGGGAGCUAGAAGGGCGCCCAGACUGACCAGAGGACCUGCGGCAGGAACGAGGAGGACGUGGGAAAAUUGUUCGUUGGUAGCCUGAGCCCCAAAAAGGCCAUAGCUGUGAAGAAGGAUCCUGUGAAGAAAAUCUUUGUGGGGGUCUGAACCCUGAAUCCACUGAGAAGAGAAGAGAGUACUUUUGCAAGUUUGGGGAGAUUGAGGCCAUUGAGUUUUCAUUGGAUCCAGAGUCUAAUAAAAGACGAGGUUCUGUUUUUAUCACCUUUAAAGAAGAGGAACCUGUGAGAAAUAUCCUGGAGAAGUUCCGCACCAUCGGUGGCAGCAAGGUAAGGAGUUUCCAGCUCCAUGUGCCUGUAUUCCUGUUUCUGGAGAGCUAGCCCCUGGGCUAGUGGGGAACCUAGUAGGGUAACCAGUCAUCCCCAUUGCAAGUAUCCCGGGAAACUCUUCCCUAGAAUGUAGAAGGUCAUGAGUGUGGAAGUUUGGAGGAAAAGUACAAAACCCAUAUAGUGGUCCACAAAAGAGGGGCUGAAAGCAACACAGUCUUUAGUGUCAAAUGGAUAUUGCAUAGAUUAUGCACCUUCUGUAGUUGCUGUUGCCCACUUUCCCCUGACCACUGAUGUUGGCAACUAUAAUUUGUGCUUGACAAUAAUGAUUUAUCUGUUCAGUGGUUGCAUCCGUCAGAGAGGUGCGACUUAAGUGUAUCAUAAUUAUGAAUAUUAACAGACCAUCUUUGACUUUGCCUGUGGAUUAACUGUUGUGCUUUGUGUCAGGAUAAUGCUAGUUUCAUUUUUUAAAAAUGACUAUUGUGACCAUGUUUUCUAAGAGGUCUGAUAAUGGAAAUGAGAAUGAUGAAAAGACCAACGCAAGCAUGAUCCCAUCACUGAAAAAGAAGGCUAAAUGACUCUGUUAUUUAAUGACAGAUGGAAGGACACAUACAACUGGAUUAGGGAGGUAAAUCACCCAAACAGAGCACACUGCACACUAUGCAGAAAAGAAUGUGGGGUUGGGCAUGGUGGAGAAGGGGAUGUGAAAGCACAUAUGGAGACCGUAGCUCACAAGUCCAGGAUGAGACAGGCCAGCGCUUCUAAACCAGUCGAAAGUGUUUUCAUGUCCCAAAAAGACACCAAUGUUCAGUCAAAAAUAGCAGCUGUUGAAUUAGCCUGGGCAUACCACAUGAACAAACAUGCGUUAUCAUAUCGUUCCCUUGAUUGUUCUAUGAAACUGAGUAAAGUUACAUUUCCUGAUUCAGAGGUUGCAACUAAAGUAUCCUGUGGGUGAACAAAAGGAGCAGUUUUGAUCACAGAUGUGUUGGCCCCUUACAGCAUAGAGCUGAUUCUGUCAUUUCUUACCAACAAUCAUGUUUUCUUCAGCAUGUCAACUUCAAGCAAUGAGCCGAAUCAUGGCAACAAAAACCUGUUCCCAUUAGCCCUUAGAUACUUUGACUUGAAAGAUGGAGUUUCAAAUAGUCUUCUUGAUUUCUAUGAGGAUUCUAAAGAAACUGCUGAAAUCAUAUAACAAAAGAUUGUUGCUAUUUUGUCCAAAUACAAAAUAGACUUAACUCAUCUAUCUACAUUUUCAUCAGACAUUGCAAAUGCAAGUUGUGGCAAAUUCCAUUCAGUCUAUCAACUUCUUAACAAAGAAAAUGAAAAGGUCUUACCAACUCAGUGUCCUGCCCAUCUUGUAUACAACACUGCCAAAAAGCAUUGUGAUUCGUUUAAAUGGAAUAUUGAGACUUUCAUAAUGAACGUGUUUGGUCACUUUUCAGUUUCCUCAAAAUGUGCAGAAGCACUUACUGAGAUUUUUGACUUUAUAGACAUGGAAGGAGAUCACCUCUUUAGACAAGUGCCUACAAGAUGGAUGCCGUUGCUCCCAGCCAUAGAAAGAAUGCUAAAGUGUUGGCCUGCCAUAAAAUCCUGUUUUCAAAGUGUGGGACAGGAAGAAUGUCCUUCUUUGAUUUGGAAAUAGAUUGAGGGUGAGAAUGGAGAAAAGGAUUACAGUAAAACAGAAGUUUAUAUUCUGUUUCUCCAGAACUGUUUGAUGAUCUUUGGAGAGGCCAUAAAGAGCCUAGAAAAGGAGGAGCUGACCGCACCUGAGCUGUUUGAUAUUAUAUAUAGGUUGAGACAAAAACUCACACAGCAGAAAAAUGAUUCGUUUUUCGGAAAUAAGACUGCUUCAGAGUUAAAAAAA